CGGGAGGCUGCAGUCGAGAAUCUUCCGCAAUGCGCGAAAGCGUGACGGAGCGACGCCGCGUGGAUGAUGAAGGCCUUCGGGUUGUAAAGUCCACUCUCGUGGGAAGAAACAGGAGAGGUUAACACCCUGCUUCUGCGACGUUACCACGGUCGAAGUGCCGGCUAAACACGUGCCAGCAGCCGCGGUAAUACGUGUGGCGCAAGCGUUGUUCGGAACCACUGGGCAUAAAGAGCGCGUAGGCGGUAGUGUAUGUCGGAUGUGAAAGCCCUUGGCUCAACCAAGGAAUUGCAUUCGAAACUGCAUUACUAGAGUAUGGAAGGGGGGAGUGGAAUUCCUGGUGGAGCGGUGAAAUGCGUAGAUAUCAGGAAGAACACCGGUGGCGAAGGCGACUCUCUGGUCCAUAACUGACGCUGAGGCGCGAAAGCUAGGGGAGCGAACAGGAUUAGAUACCCUGGUAGUCCUAGCUGUAAACGAUGGGCACUAGGUAGUGGGGGUUCCGACACUCUCACUGCUGGAGCAAAUGUAUUAAGUGCCCCGCCUGGGGAGUAUGCUCGCAAGGGUGAAACUCAAAGGAAUUGACGGGGGCUCACACAAGCGGUGGAGCAUGUUGUUUAAUUCGAGGAUACGCGAAGAACCUUACCUGGGCAUGACUUCUCGAUCGUACCUGGUGGAAACAUCAGGGUCAGUUCGGCUGGAUCGAUGACAGGUGCUGCAUGGCUGUCGUCAGCUCGUGUCGUGAGAUGUCGGGUUAAGUCCCAUAACGAGCGAAACCCCUGUCCUUAGUUGCCAGCGAGUAAUGUCGGGGACUCUAAGGAGACUGCCGGUGUUAAACCGUGAGGAAGGUGGGGACGACGUCAAGUCAUCAUGGCCUUUAAGUCCAGGGCUACAAACGUGCUACAAUGGUCGGUACAAUGGGACGCAAUACCGUGAGGUGGAGCAAAUCUCAAAAAACCGGCCCCAGUUCAGAUCGGAGGCUGCAAUUCGCCUCCGUGAAGUUGGAAUCGCUAGUAACCGCGUAUCAGCCAUGACGCGGUGAAUGUGUUCCUGAGCAUUGUACACACCGCCCGUCAAGCCAUCUAAGCAGGGCACGCCCGAAAUUGCUGACCCAACCCGCAAGGGAGGGAGG
rnacentral:rRNA from 1 species